GGCAGAAUGUUAAAUGAUUAGAGUAGAAUAACAAAUUUCCAUCCUAAACACAAAUAAUAAAAUAAACAUAACUCCAAUUUAGAUUAUACGGGACACCACCCAUGCCAAUUAUCAGAUUCAACUAACUAUUGAAUAGGAUAACCAAAUCUAAUUAAAUCAAAUUCAACUUUUUAAAAUUUUCAAACAAUCCAUACCAAAUAGUGCAAAAUUCCAAACUCUUAUCAUCAAAGCCAUGUAAAUAAAAUUAUAAGUAGAUAGGAAAGAAUUGAACCUAGUGUUUCCAAUUAAUGAGAGUUUGAAACUUUACAACUUUUGUAUGUACGAAUGGAUGCGGCAAACGACACGACUGAAGCUUGAACCACAAAUGCUAGACAGACCCCCAAACCAAAAAUAAUGAGCAACGAUCUCAAACGAAAAUUGAACAAGCCAUUGACGGCCAAAAUAGUGGUCGGAAACCUCCAUGGAACUACAACCCAUAGGCCGGAAACGUGACAACAUUCAAUGACGGACCUCAACAUCGGCACCCAAAAUUAACAGACUCCCAGACCUCAAACAAACACCAUGGCUUUUGAAUCCAAAACUGAGAUCAACUGAAGAAAAAUCAGAAACUCUUUCAUAUAUGUAUAUCUUCAAUUUUUACCCCUUUUCAUGUUAUUAGUCCGUUCCCUUUUUUAGUUACUUUUUUCUGUUAUGAAGAAGGAGCGAGCAACUAUGGUGGUCAUUUUUGUUGGUUGAAGAAGACGACUAUGUGCGUGUGUGUUGUGGUGUCUUGGGACUGGUGGAGUUGGUGAGUGGUUUUUGUGAGGAUGUCGAAGAAGAAGACGACGCAGCAGAAGGGGGUCAUUUUAUGGCUGGACGUUGGCGGACUGCUGGUCGUUUCUUCGUCAAAGAAGACGAGGAAGGGCAGUGGGCGUUGGGGCUGGGUGGUGUCGAAGAAGACAACGCAGCAGGGGGAGGCGGAUGUUUAGUGGCUGAUUGAUUUUAGGGUUAUGGAAAUGAAAUCA
rnacentral:lncRNA from 1 species